rnacentral:rRNA from 1 species
AUACGUAGGUGACAAGCGUUAUCCGGAUUUACUGGGCGUAAAGGGCGUGUAGGCGGUCUUGCAAGUCAGAAGUGAAAUUCCUGAGCUCAACUCGGGCGCUGCUUCUGAAACUGCAGGACUUGAGUGCUGGAGGGGAUAGCGGAAUUCCUAGUGGAGCGGUAAAAUGCGCAGAUAUUAGGAGGAAUACCAGUGGCGAAGGCGACUCUCUGGACUGAUACUGACGCUGAGGCACGAAAGCGUGGGGAGCAAACAGGAUUAGAUACCCUGGUAGUCCACGCUAUAAACGAUGAGUGCUAGGUGUCGGGGGUCAAACCUCGGUGCCGCAGUUAACACAUUAAGCACUCCGCCUGGGGAGUACGGCCGCAAGGCUGAAACUCAAAUGAAUUGACGGGG